rnacentral:rRNA from 1 species
CCCUAUUAUUUUAAAAGUGGAUAUAAUUAAUAUAUUAAUGAAAAUUAAAAAUUUUGGCGGUUAAUUAUUAAUUAGAGGAGCUUGUUUGAAAUAAGAAUUUACUCUUUAUAUUUAAUUAAAAUGUAGUUUAUUCAUCUCCGUUAUUAGAUAAAAAGAUUAUAUUUAAAUAUUUUUAUUAUUUCAGGUCAAGAUGUAGCAUUUAUUGGGAAAAAUUAGCUACAUUUUAUUAUAAAUGGAUAAGGAUAAUGAAAAAUUUUUGAGAAAUUGAAUUUAGUUGUAAUGAUAGUUAAUAUGCUAUUAUGAAUUUAUGUAAUUAAUGUA